rnacentral:rRNA from 1 species
CGGGGGGCCUACGGGAGGCAGCAGUGGGGAAUUUUGGACAAUGGGCGAAAGCCUGAUCCAGCAAUGCCGCGUGCAGGAUGAAGGCCUUCGGGUUGUAAACUGCUUUUGUACGGAACGAAAAGGCGCCUACUAAUACUGGGCGUUGAUGACGGUACCGUAAGAA